GACGAACGCUGGCGGCGUGCUUAACACAUGCAAGUCGAACGGAAAGGCCCUGCUUUUGUGGGGUGCUCGAGUGGCGAACGGGUGAGUAACACGUGAGUAACCUGCCCUUGACUUUGGGAUAACUUCAGGAAACUGGGGCUAAUACCGGAUAGGAGCUCCUGCUGCAUGGUGGGGGUUGGAAAGUUUCGGCGGUUGGGGAUGGACUCGCGGCUUAUCAGCUUGUUGGUGGGGUAGUGGCUUACCAAGGCUUUGACGGGUAGCCGGCCUGAGAGGGUGACCGGCCACAUUGGGACUGAGAUACGGCUCAGACUCCUACGGGCGGCAGCAGUGGGGAAUAUUGCACAAUGGGCGGAAGCCUGAUGCAGCAACGCCGCGUGGGGGAUGACGGCCUUCGGGUUGUAAACCGCUUUCGCCUGUGACGAAGCGUGAGUGACGGUAAUGGGUAAAGAAGCACCGGCUAACUACGU
rnacentral:rRNA from 1 species